UACGUAGGGAGCGAGCGUUGUCCGGAAUUACUGGGCGUAAAGGGCGCGUAGGCGGCGAUGCAAGUCGCAUGUGAAAUCCCCAGGCUUAACUUGGGGGGUGCAUACGAAACUGCAUGGCUUGAGUAUGGCAGAGGAAAGUGGAAUUCCUAGUGUAGCGGUGAAAUGCGUAGAUAUUAGGAGGAACACCAGUGGCGAAGGCGACUUUCUGGGCCACAACUGACGCUGAGGCGCGAAAGCGUGGGGAGCAAACAGGAUUAGAUACCCUGGUAGUCCACGCGGUAAACGAUGAAUGCUAGGUGUAGGAGGUAUCGACCCCUUCUGUGCCGCAGCUAACGCAAUAAGCAUUCCGCCUGGGGAGUACGGCCGCAAGGUUGAA
rnacentral:rRNA from 1 species